AUGUGCUUCGAGUUCAGCUCCUGUUUCGGCGGCGUCAUAAAGGACGACUACGGCGGCGAGCGGUCCAACCAAGGCGGCUGCAGCGGCCGUGGCCGCGGCCACAGGGGGUACCGCGAGAACGGGAACGGCUACAACGCCGCUGCCGCCGACCACAAGCCGGCUACGGCCUACGACCAUCAGCGGGCUCUUGAUGAGCAUGGGCGCAAGGCCCACGCCCACCACGACGGCGGGGUGAAACCUGACCACGCCUCCGUCGUCGCUGCCACCGGUGGCCACGGCUAUUACGCCGCCUAUAUGCAAGACAAGGCCCACGAGGCGCCGAAGCUUCCUGCGUGGCACAACAAUGUCGUCGACGACGCCGGCUACGCCUACAACUACAACACAGCGCGCCUCCGCCACCAGGCUGCUCCUGAUCAUAGGGAGCACGCCGCCAUGGAUUACCACCACUACCCAACCACUACUACCACUCUCGUAAGGUACUAG
rnacentral:rRNA from 1 species